rnacentral:rRNA from 1 species
AUGGAUGCUAUGGAGGAGGAUACGCCUCCCGCGCCACCACCACCGCAUACGACGGGCGCGAAGCAGCCGCCGUACAAGGAUCCUGACGACGGGAGGCAGCGGUUCCUCCUGGAGCUGGAGUUCAUCCAGUGCCUCGCCAACCCCAUCUACAUCAACUAUCUAGCGCAGAACCGGUACUUUGAGGAUGAGGCGUUCAUCGGGUAUCUCAAGUACCUCAAGUAUUGGCAGCGUCCGGAGUACAUCAAAUACAUAAUGUAUCCGCACUGCCUUUUCUUUCUUGAGCUUCUCCAAAAUGCAAAUUUCCGAAACGCAAUGGCACAUCCAGCAAACAAGGAAGUUGCUCAUAGGCAGCAAUAUUUCUUCUGGAAAAACUACAGGAACAAUAGACUGAAGCACAUCCUGCCACGUCUUCCUCCCGAACCAACUCCUGCGCCUGCACCAGCACCAGCACCAGUGCCGACACCUCCACCUGUUCCUGCACCACCAUCGUCUUUGCCAACUAUGUCAGCUGUUGGUGCUUCUGCAAUGCCCCCCAUGCAGUUUAUAGGAACUCCUGGCACCAACAACCCAAAGAAUGAGAUGAGAAAUGUUAUGGGUGGUAGAAAGAGAAAGAUGGGCUAG